rnacentral:tRNA from 2 species
GCGCCCGUAGCUCAGUUGGAUAGAGCAGCAGAUUUCUAAUCUGCGGGCCGCAGGUUCGAGUCCUGCCGGGCGUA